rnacentral:rRNA from 1 species
UACGAAGGGGGCGAGCGUUGUUCGGAAUUACUGGGCGUAAAGGGCGCGUAGGCGGCGACCCAAGUUAGAGGUGAAAGCCCGGAGCUCAACUCCGGAAUUGCCUUUAAGACUGCAUCGCUAGAAUUGUGGAGAGGUGAGUGGAAUUCCGAGUGUAGAGGUGAAAUUCGUAGAUAUUCGGAAGAACACCAGUGGCGAAGGCGACUCACUGGACACAUAUUGACGCUGAGGUGCGAAAGCGUGGGGAGCAAACAGG